rnacentral:rRNA from 1 species
AGCGAACGCUGGCGGCAGGCCUAAUACAUGCAAGUCGAACGGCUCUUCGGAGCAGUGGCGGACGGGUGAGUAACGCGUGGGAAUGUGCCCUUAGGUACGGAACAACACAGGGAAACUUGUGCUAAUACCGUAUGUGCCCUUCGGGGGAAAGAUUUAUCGCCUUUGGAGCAGCCCGCGUUGGAUUAGCUAGUUGGUGAGGUAAAGGCUCACCAAGGCGACGAUCCAUAGCUGGUCUGAGAGGAUGACCAGCCACACUGGGACUGAGACACGGCCCAGACUCCUACGGGAGGCAGCAGUAGGGAAUCUUGCGCAAUGGGCGAAAGCCUGACGCAGCCAUGCCGCGUGUAUGAUGAAGGUCUUAGGAUUGUAAAAUACUUUCACCGGGGAAGAUAAUGACGGUACUCGGAGAAGAAGCCCCGGCUAACUUCGUGCCAGCCGCCGCCGUAAAAC